rnacentral:rRNA from 1 species
CAGUCGCCGCGGGAAUACGGAGGGUGCAAGCGUUAAUCGGAAUUACUGGGCGUAAAGCGCACGCAGGCGGUCUGUUAAGUCAGAUGUGAAAUCCCCGGGCUCAACCCGGGAACUGCAUUUGAAACUGGCAGGCUUGAGUCUUGUAGAGGGGGGUAGAAUUCCAGGUGUAGCGGUGAAAUGCGUAGAGAUCUGGAGGAAUACCGGUGGCGAAGGCGGCCCCCUGGACAAAGACUGACGCUCAGGUGCGAAAGCGUGGGGAGCAAACAGGAUUAGAUACCCCGGUAGUCCCUGUCUCUUAUAC